UUGCACUGCGGUUGGGUUGACCCCUGCGAUUAUCCCUAAUGUGGAUAACUCGGACGCGUAAUUUUUGGUAGUAGGGGACUGCGUACGCGCUGUCCCCUU
rnacentral:snRNA from 1 species